rnacentral:rRNA from 1 species
AGAGUUUGAUCCUGGCUCAGAUUGAACGCUGGCGGCAGGCUUACACAUGCAAGUCGAGCGGUAACAGGGGGUGCUUGCACCCCGCUGACGAGCGGCGGACGGGUGAGUAAUGCAUAGGAAACUGCCCAGUAGUGGGGGAUAGCCCGGGGAAACCCGGAUUAAUACCGCGUACGCCCUUCGGGGGAAAGCAGGGGAUCUUCGGACCUUGCGCUAUUGGAUGUGCCUAUGUCGGAUUAGCUAGUUGGUGGGGUAAAGGCCUACCAAGGCGACGAUCCGUAGCUGGUCUGAGAGGAUGAUCAGCCACAUCGGGACUGAGACACGGCCCGAACUCCUACGGGAGGCAGCAGUGGGGAAUAUUGGACAAUGGGGGCAACCCUGAUCCAGCCAUGCCGCGUGUGUGAAGAAGGCUUUCGGGUUGUAAAGCACUUUCAGUGAGGAGGAAGGCUUGAAGGUUAAUACCCUUCAGGAUUGACGUUACUCACAGAAGAAGCACCGGCUAACUCCGUGCCAGCAGCCGCGGUAAUA